rnacentral:rRNA from 1 species
CACGUAGGGGGCGAGCGUUGUUCGGAGUUACUGGGCGUAAAGGGUGCGUAGGCGGUUGUUUAAGUUUGGUGUGAAAUCUCCCGGCUCAACUGGGAGGGUGCGCCGAAUACUGAAUGACUAGAGUGCGGGAGAGGAGAGUGGAAUUCCUGGUGUAGCGGUGAAAUGCGUAGAUAUCAGGAGGAACACCGGUGGUGUAGACGGCUCUCUGGACCGUAACUGACGCUGAGGCACGAAAGCGUGGGUAGCAAACAGG